ACCCUGAUUUAUCCUUUCCCUUGCUGGCAGCAUCAAUUUAGCCUAAAAUCUUGCUAACCAAAAUAGAAGCAUCCGAAAAAAUUGCUAGAAAAUCUUUCUCGUUGAAAAUAUAUUUUCUUAUGACGAAAAUCAUGGAAAAACAUAGCAAAAAACAGCAAGAACAAAAGAUUAAAUCAUUUAGAUGGUACAAUAACAACCAACGAUCGCAAGAAAACGGAAGAUAAGUUGAUGAGCAAAAGUUUUUCCAGAGAUUAAGUGACAAUACCAAAAUAGAUUUAUGGAUAUCGCGUCAACUGAGUCUCAAGGUGGAUGUAAUGUGCUAAUAAAACUUGGGAUGGAAUUUGACUCGGAUGAGCACGCAUAUGACUGUUAUAAUGAAUACGCAGCUUCAGUUGACUUUAGUAUUAGAAAAGAAUAUGCUAAUAAAAAUAGUGUCCAUGGGUAUGUGACUUCAACAAAAUUUACAUGUUAUAAAGAAGGUUAUAGAAGCACGGACAAACGAGAUCCGACGGUUCAAAAGCACAGAAACGAAACUAGGACAGGGUGCUUAGCUCAUAUUACUAUUAAUCGUCAAUUGAGUGGAAUGUUUCGCAUCACUUCAUUUGAAGAGAAACACAACCAUCCUCUUGUUGAUUCUUCUUUAGCUCAUCUGUAACCAUCUCAAAGAAAGAUAAAAGUUGCUCAAGCAUAUGAACUUGACUUAUUAGAUGAUUCAGGAAUACGUCCUAAAGCUUCAUUUGACUAUGCUGCUCGUCAAGCUGGAGGACAAUCUUUUCUAGGUUACACAAAGAGAGAUCACAAGAAUUAUCUUUGGGACAAAAGACAUGAAAAUUUGAAACAUGGAGUGACUCAUAGCUUGGUGAAUUAUUUUGAGAAAAUAACACUAGAAGAUCCCGCUUUUCGAUUUUCUUUACACUUAGAUGAUGAUAAUUUGAUAACUAAUGUAUUCUGGGCUGAUGCAAAGAUGAUAAGAGAUUUUAAGAUAUAUGGAGAUGUUGUGUCUUUUGAUACAACAUAUAUGACAAAUAAAGAGUAUCGACCCUUCGCACUAUUUGUUGGUUUGAAUAAUCAUAAGGAAAUGGUUAUAUUUCGUGCAGCUCUCUUGUACAAAGAAUCAACUGAAUCGUUUCAAUGGAUUUUUGAUGCGUUCUUUAGCAUUAUGUCUGCAGAUAAACCACAAACAUUCAUGACAGAUCAAGAUCCCGCAAUAGCUGCUGUUCUCUCAUCAGUAAUGCCAAAUGCAUAUCAUCGUCUAUGUGUGUGGCACUUGGAAAAAAAUGUGUUUAAACAUCUUAACCAUAUCUUUAGAGCUAAUUCAUCAUUUCCGGAAGAUUUUAGCAGAUUGCUUUAUGAUUAUGAGUAUGAGGAUGAUUUCUUAAGUGCGUAGCAGGAUAUGCUUGAGAAAUAUAAUCUUAGGGAUAAUAAUUGGUUGAAAACUACGUUUGCUCUAAGGGAGAAAUGGUCGAUGACAUAUGGAAGAAAUACAUUUUCAGCAGGUAUGUGAGUUCAUGUGUGAAAUUUCUUUGUUGAAUGGAGGUGAGUUCAAGGUCUUCUUUGAUCAGGAAAUGCAAGCACACAAUUAAGUGAGAGCUUUAAUGGAUCUUUAAGGGGAUAUUUGAAAUCUGAUUUGGAUAUCGUUCAAUUUUUUAAGUAUUUUCAGAGAUCAGUUGAUGAUAAGCGCACCAAUGAGAAUAAGUCAAAUUUUGAUAUGACUCAAAGAAUACCUAUUUUAAAGGUUAAACUUCCUUUAUUGAUUCAUGCUAGGGAUGUAUACACCCCAACUAUAUUUGACAUGUUUCAAAAUGAAUGGGAAAGGUCAUUACUUGUUUCCGUGAAGGACUUUCAUAACGAAGGAGAUUUGUGCACAUACAAUGUUGGCACUUAUGGAAGUGUAAAGGAGCAUGCAAUAACUGUCAAGCGAUCAGUAACUCAAGUUUCUUGUAGCUGCAAAAUGUUUGAGUUUGUGGGUAUAUUAUGCAGACAUGCUUUAAAGAUCAUUGAUUUACUAAAUGCAAAGGAUAUGAUUCCUGCACAUUAUAUACUAAAGAGAUGGACAAAAGAUGCUACAAACAUGCAUGAGAUGGAUGUCAAUCUAGUAGGAACAAACUCUGAUCCAAAAGUUGAAAUUAUUGCGAGGUAUAGACAUUUGUGUCAAACUUUUGUCCAAAUUUCAAGUGAAGCUUCUGAAUCCAAAGAAGGGGAUGAAUUGGCUGCAAAGUGUGCAAACGAGAUAAUUGUAAAGUUAAACGACGUAAAGAAGAGAAAUGAAUCACGUGAAGAGCCGAUUCCAAGGAAUAAUAUCCAAAAUGAACCGAGUGAGACAAUAUUUUUUGACAAUACAAAUGUCACGAAGGUGACUGGGUUAAAAAGGAAGGAGCCAACUCGCCGCUCUAAUACUCGGCCAAAGAGUUUUAUGGAAAAGGCCCAAAGAAAAAAUAAGACUUCAUUGCCAAAAUUUCCUCUUAGCUAAACUGACCAGCAGUUUGAUAACUUUUCAUCUCUUCAAGUCCCAUGUCCGCCUUUACGAGAUGCAUCAAUGACUAUGGGAGCUGCAGAAAGAAGCUUUCGUCCAUGGUGCCCUUCACAAUUGUCUCAAGGAUCAUCUCAUGGAAGUUUGACUCAGCUCUUAAGAGAUGUUUCAUUGGAUGAUUUAAACAAGUAUUCUCGACACUGAUUAUGACAACUUCGAAAAACGAAGGUUUCAUGGUGAUGGUAUUGUUCCAGAACGCGAUUUGGCAUCCUCUGUUAAUGGGUUCUGUUCCAGAACGCGAUUUGGCAUCCUCUGUUAAUGGGUUCUGUUCCAGAACGCGAUUUGACAUCCUCUGUUAAUGGAGUUGUUUCUUUUUUUACAUCAAGGCUGCAACUUAUUUUAUAGUGGAAAAUUAGCUUCUACCUUGAAAAUUCUUUUGUUUAGCAUUUGAUUAUAUGUAGAAUGAACAUGGUAUAUAUAGCAACCAUUGAUGCAGUAGCUAGAAAUGCUU